AACUAAAUUACAUUGGGUACAAUUGUGCACAAACAGUUAUUGAUAGGAAUAUCAAGAAAAACAUAUAAGUUCCUCUGUAAUAUUGACUCUUCGUCCUUAGUUCAUCGACAUGUAAAUCAUGCACAACCAAAUAAAAGGAUAUAUAAAUAUUUAUAUAUAUUCAUAUAUUGCAGCGGUCCAAUAUAAUAAAAUAAAUUGUGGCGGAACGUCAACUGCAAUGGAACGUGUUAGUCGCUACCUCUUACUAUUAAUCAACAAACUAUUAAAUUAACAAUCCUGUUAGGAUUUUUCCUCUCUUCAAUGCUUGAUCAAUUCAGAUUUACAGCAUGAGAAAACAAGACAAAGACUUGGCAGAACAUAAACCCAGCAAAGAAUCAGAUUUUGAUACAAGAAUUUGAUGUUUUUUGGAACAAAUUUCUUCAACCACUGCAGGGAAUUUUUCCCCCAGUCAAUCUACCAUUUAACAGAAUAUUACAGAGUUUUUAUUUGCACAAAACACUAGCACUCAUCACUCAAAAAACGAGACACUACCAGAAAACUUUCAGAAAGUUACAAAGAGGUGUUGCAGAGACUUUUUCUCUCACUAUCUUUCUUUCUCUAACUACAGAAAAUCAUCCCUCUUGCUCACACAUUCACGUAAUAGCCCCUCUAUCCUAUUUAUAGGCAUGGGACUUGUAGAGAUAUACAAGGAAAUGUAUGUAACACUCAGUUAAAACUAAUACCAGAAAACUUGUUAGAAUCUAAGGCUCCUAACUGAUUUUCUAACUCACUAACUAAUUUCCUAACUAAUGAGUUUAAUAACCGAAUCAAGAAUCAAUAUUUUCUCUACAAAUCCUAUAUUCG
rnacentral:lncRNA from 1 species